AGUGAACGCUGGCGGCGUGCCUAAUACAUGCAAGUCGAACGGAGUGGCGCACGGGCGAGUAAUAUAUAGCUAAUCUGCCCCUUGCUGGAGGACAACAGCUAGAGAUGACUGCUAAUACUCCAUAGCAAGGGAUGAGACUAUAUCGUAUCAGCUAGUCGGUUGGGUAACGGCCUACCGAGGCUAUGAAGCGUAACUGGUCUGAGAGGAUGAUCAGUAAAAUUGUAACUGAGACACGGUCCGAGAACCUACGAGAGGGAGCAGUAGGGUAAAUUGCGCAAUGGGGGAGUGUCUAAAGGAGCAACGCGGCGUGGAGGAUUACACUUUUCGGAGAGUAAACUCCUUUUGUUAGGGAAGCGGUACCUAACGAAUAAGCACCGGCUAACUCCGUGCCAGCAGCCGCGGUAAUAC
rnacentral:rRNA from 1 species